CCUCCCAGGGUUAGUCGGGACCUAAGCCGAGGCCGAGAGGCGUAGGCGAUGGAUAACAGGUUGAGAUUCCUGUACUGGUUAAACUUGUUUGAACAAUGGAGGGACGCAGGAGGCUAUCGAUGCGUACUGUUGGAUAUGUACGUUCAAGCAACAAGUCUGUAGAUGAGUCAAAUGCUUAUCUACUUAAGGACAAGUUGUGAUGAGGAGCGAAAUUUAGUAGCGAAGUGAGAGACGUCACACUGCCAAGAAAAGCUUCUAGUUAGAGUUUAAUCACCCGUACCGCAAACCG
rnacentral:rRNA from 1 species